rnacentral:RNase_P_RNA from 1 species
AAGGCAAAUCAGUCUAUCGCUGCUUGUUUUUAUAAUAGGGAGAGGAAAGUCCGGGCAGUACAGAGCGUCGUACUUCCUAACGGGAAGGUCUUAGUGGAUCAAUCCAUUGGGAACAGAAAGUGCCACAGAAAGGAAAACUACCAUUGAGUUCGCUGAAUGGAAAAGGUGAAAAGGUGAGGUAAGAGCUCACCGCUUUGGCAGUGAUGUUAAAGGCAAGGUAAACCUUACGAACUGAAAGACCAAAUAUACCGAGGCUUGAGGGUUGCUCGCCCAAUCUCGGAGGGUAGGUUGAUGGAUUCCAAGCGUGAGUUUGGAACUAGAUAAAUGAUAGACAACUGAGUUGAUUCGUUCAACAAAGAUUACAGAACCCGGCUUAUGGUUUGCCUUUUUU